rnacentral:rRNA from 1 species
GAUGAACGCUAGCUACAGGCUUAACACAUGCAAGUCGAGGGGUAACGAGAGGAAAGCUUGCUUUCCUUGUCGACGACCGGCGCACGGGUGAGUAACGCGUAUCCAACCUGCCCCCAACUAGGGAAUAACCUUGCGAAAGUAAGACUAAUACCCUAUAAUUUCCUCAGAUGCCAUCUGACGAGGAAUAAAGAUUUAUCGGUUGUGGAUGGGGAUGCGUCUGAUUAGCUUGUUGGCGGGGUAACGGCCCACCAAGGCAACGAUCAGUAGGGGUUCUGAGAGGAAGGUCCCCCACAUUGGAACUGAGACACGGUCCAAACUCCUACGGGAGGCAGCAGUGAGGAAUAUUGGUCAAUGGGCGGAAGCCUGAACCAGCCAAGUAGCGUGCAGGAUGACGGCCCUAUGGGUCGUAAACUGCUUUUAUACAGGAAUAAAGUUAGCCACGUGUGGUUAUUUGUAGGUACUGUAUGAAUAAGGACCGGCUAAUUCCGUGCCAGCAGCCGCCGCAG